ACAAUAUCCUACCAUUUCAAUAAACUUGGGUGUGGAUGGCGUUGGAGUUCUAACUGCGGAUGUGUUGCUCUCCUUCCCAUGAUCCCGCAGCCUGAAGCCUGCUCGCGCUUCCUUGCCCCUUGCCCUAGUCAAGGGACUCGCUGACAAUGGUCAACUCCCGGUCACGAUGAGGCCACGGGCUCUGAACUACUGCAAAAGCACCUCAUCAGCCUGUUCGCUUUUUUAUCAGGCGAAUUCUGGCGAACAACAUUGCCGACUUGGUGGGACGGUUUCGGAGUUCUAGCAGCGCAUGAAUUGCCCUCCGCUGACAAUGGCCCGUUCCCGGCGUAGAUGAGGUCACGGGCUCGGAACUACUUUGAAUAUCAUUGGCCGAAAACUCGACUGCUGCCACGCCCUACAAAUUAGCUAGUAUUCGCAGCUAAAUUGAAGGAUUCAAGGAUUCUGAUCGAUUCUAAUGAUUUCUACGAAUCCAACAAGGCUACUCCUACAAGGAUCGGGCUUAUAUUAAGCCAGAUAUAGUCAUUUUAAGUUAAAAUUGAAAAUACAUGUAAAAAACGACAAAUUUGUUCAUUUUAACAACAAUAAAUAAAUAAU